rnacentral:rRNA from 1 species
CCCUUAGAUGUCCUGGGCCGCACGCGCGCUACACUGACAUGUUCAACAAGCCUCCUAGUUCGACAGGAUUUGGGAAAUCUUUGAACGCAUGUCGUGAUAGGGAUAGAUCAUUGCAAUUAUUGAUCUUGAACGAGGAAUUCCUAGUAAGUGCGAAUCAUCAGUUCGCGCUGAUUACGUCCCUGCCCUUUGUACACACCGCCCGUCGCUCCUACCGAUUGAGUGGUCCGGUGAAUAAUUCGGACUGAGGAUUUAGGCAGUUUCUGUCUUUAUCUUCGGGAAGUCUAGUGAACCUUAUCACUUAGAGGAAGGAGAAGUCGUAACA